AUUGAACGCUGGCGGCAUGCCUUACACAUGCAAGUCGAACGGUAACAGGUUAAGCUGACGAGUGGCGAACGGGUGAGUAAUGUAUCGGAACGUGCCCAGUCGUGGGGGAUAACUGCUCGAAAGAGCAGCUAAUACCGCAUACGACCUGAGGGUGAAAGCGGUGGAUCGCAAGACCUCGCGCGAUUGGAGCGGCCGAUAUCAGAUUAGGUAGUUGGUGAGGUAAAGGCUCACCAAGCCGACGAUCUGUAGCUGGUCUGAGAGGACGACCAGCCACACUGGGACUGAGACACGGCCCAGACUCCUACGGGAGGCAGCAGUGGGGAAUUUUGGACAAUGGGCGCAAGCCUGAUCCAGCCAUGCCGCGUGCGGGAAGAAGGCCUUCGGGUUGUAAACCGCUUCUGUCAGGGAAGAAAAGGUUCUGGCUAAUACCUGGGACUCAUGACGGUACCUGAAGAAUAAGCACCGGCUAACUACGUG
rnacentral:rRNA from 1 species